GUAUCCAAAGGAUGAUAUACGCUAUUGGAAAAGUGCAUUAGAUAAGUACAAAAGAAUUCUUAAUCCAAAUAUUCUAGAAGUACUCAAAAUAAGCUACAAUGGAUUGGAGGAAAGUCAGCAGCAUAUUUUCCUUGAUAUUUCAUCUUGUCUCAAGGGAUUACACAAGGAUGUUGUCGAGCAUGUACUAGAAAGUUGCAAUUCUUAUGACCCAUAUAUAGAUAUUGAAAUACUUAAAGAUAAGUCUCUCAUAUUUGUUGAUGAAUAUGGCAAAUUAUCGAUGCAUGACUUGAUGCAACAAAUGGGUUUGGAAAUUAUCAAACAAGAAUCAAAAGUAUCAAAGAAACACAAGGUUAUUGUGUUAUGAUGAUGCUUCCGAACUACCAGAUACGGGAUUAGAAGAAGUUGAAGGCAUAACAUUGCGCUUACCACAACCAAGAAACAUGCAAAUAGAUUUUGGAAGGAUGAAAAAACUCAAAUACUUGAUUGUUCGUAAUUUAAUUUGUGAAGAUGUUAAAUAUCUUCCAAAUGAGUUAAGGUUAAUUGAUUGGAAUGAGUUUCCUUUACCUUCCUUGCCAGCCACCGUUAAUCUUCAAAAACUUGUUGCACUUAAAGUGCCAAGAAGCCACAUUAAAUUGGAUGAGCAUUUUGAGAGAUGCCGGCUCCCAGCUUUGAAAUAUAUGGAUUUCAGUGACUGUGAAAACAUUACCAAAUUACCUGACUUAUCGGUGAUUGCCCCAAACAUAAAGAGGCUGGAACUUGACUAUUGUGAAAAUUUAGUUGAGAUUCAUCAGUCUGUUGGACUUCUUGAAGAGCUUGAAUAUUUGUGUCUCGAUGGAUGUGAAAAUCUUAAAACUAUUCCAAGAAUUCUCAAGAUGAAAUCUCUUAAACAUUUUUAUAUCCUGAAGAUUGGGCAAAAUACGGAAAGAUUAGCUCUACCUUCGUCAAUUGGAAAUCUCACUAGCCUUCAAGAUUUAAGCAUCGGUUCUAAAUAUCUUAAUGAUCUUCCAAGCUGCUUAUCUACAUUACCAAAUCUUGAGACCCUCUAUAUGUAUUAUUUUGAAAAUUUUCCAAAGAACCUGGAUAUUCCUGAUUGCUUCCCCAAAUUGGAAUCGUUAUUCGUUGUGGCCAGCAACAUUACUACCCUCCCCGACAUCUCUAGCAAAUUUCCUCAAUUAAAAAAACUUAUUAUUAUCAACUGCUGUAAUCUUCAGAAAAUUCCAAAACUUCCAUCAUGUAUGGAUGAAGUAAAAGUAACAGGAUGCAAUUCGUUGGAUUCACAAUCAAGCAGAAGAUUAUUGAGUCAGUUCGCAGAAAAGGUAGGGCUUCCACAGAAUAUUGUAUGUCCAAGGGGAUCCUCGCACCGGGACUAUGCAUCUGAAACUAACUUUGCUCAUAAAAAGGGGUUUUCAUUUGAAUGUGAUGGAGUAGUGUUAAUUCAAGGAAGUAAGAUUCCAAAAUGGUUCAAUCAUCAAAUUGGUGGAAGUUCCAUAUCUUUCUCGGUCAGUUGGAAACUUCUUCCAUCAUUUGCUUUCUGUGUUGUUAUACAAGUGCAACCGAAGGAUAGCUAUAGGAUUUUUAUAUCAGGUGACUAUGUUAUCAACAUUUUCGUUGAUGGUUAUAAAGGAUUGUACUCACAUACUAUUACCAUAUAUUAUCCAACUCCACCAUCAUCAUCAUCAUCAUCAUCUUAUUCUUAUCUAUGUGUAUUUUAUAUAUGGGAUGGUUCAUUGAAAGGCAUAAUUCUAAAUGAAUGGACUGAAGUUAAGCUUCAAUUUGAAUUUUCAAAUAAUAAUCCAGAAAUAGCCAAAAUUACUGUAGAAAAGUGUGGGGUCCAUGUAGCAUGCACAUGUUCUCCUCAGAACUCCGCUGCAGAUAAGGUGGCCUGCAUAAGAAUUCAUGAAAGAAUAAACAAGAGUUUUGAUGAAAGAUUAAAGAUGUUUUUAUCGAGAGUGGCUGCAGAUGUCCUCCCCUUUAAGCAAAAGCUGGACAGAUUGUCCAAUGCUCAAGAUGGCUAUUAUUGCCCUCUUUGUGAAAUAGCCGAAGAUUCAGUUUUACAUAUAUUUCAAUGUUGUCCCUUCGCCAAAAGAUUGUGGUAUGGUAGUAGAUGGGGUUUUCGAGUCGAAAUGAUCCAAGCUCAAUCUAUAAUGGAAUUCGUUGAACAUAUAAUUGAUCCCCCAAUGGAAUUACUGGCAGAAAGAGUGAACAAAGAUGAAUUCACACUGUAUGCCGCAGUGGCAAUGAAAAUCCUUUGGGAUGCAAGGGAGGAUGCUCUGUUUUCAAACACUAAAGCCAGCAUAGACCAACUAGCCUAUCGUCUUAACAAACAGUAUGACUCAUACGUGAGAUCACUUGAAGGGCAAAACAAGGGAAGGGCUUGGUUCAAGCCACCUGACCGAUGGGUAAAGCUUAAUUUUGAUGGAUCAUAUGACCAAAAGAAUGUAGGCCUGGCUGCGAUUCUCAAAGAUGAACGUGGGAAUGGCAGAGCAAUCAGACGUGGCAUAAACAUGAACGGCAAGAUGGGCAAUGCCAUUGGCCAAACAGGACAGACUUGAGCAAGUUGUGAUAGAGAGUAUAAAGCUUGUUGUCGAGCAUUUCUCUUUGGGUUGCUCUGCUUGAAUUUUGUCAUCAUAUUCUGAGCCAACAGAAAGUGACACAGCUAGCUUCAUCAACUUCAUUGCAAGCCCGGUUGGGAAUGGAAGAACAUAAUGAAGGAAAUUUCAGCUUUAUAUAUGGGGUUCACUAAUUCUGUAGCCCACAGUCUCAUAAGAUGGGGUCUGGGGUCGAAUCACUCUAGUCUGAUUUUGCCUGUAAACUUUCAGAAAAUGGCCAAGAUAGCCUUGACCUCUUAUGCUGCAUGUAGGAUGCUGACUUCAAUACAUAUCUACUUUCGAAGAAAUGAGAACCUCUUGAUUUAACUUCUCAGAAUAUGUCAAGAAACUGGAAUUCACUUGAAGAGCCAACCAAUCAGUUGAUAGGAAGAUGCAAGUCCAAAUGCAAGCACCCCAUUGCCCCCCAAUUCAGCCUCUCAAUACUGGCAAACCGUUUUAGAAACUCCACAUCAACACUUGAUGGACUAUGGUAAACCUUAUAAUUAUUAAAAACAGCUUGUUCUUGAAUAACUCCUUCAAUGUGUUCUCCAGUUGCCUAGCAUUAAAUUCAUUGAAGACUUGACAAAUGAAAAGUUUUAAAAAUGAGUGUUUUCUUCACUUUCUCAUCCACACCAAAGAUAGAUCUUGCCCUAGAUUGUAUCAUAAGUAAGAAUGCUAUGACUCUGGUUACAAAUGGCUUUGAUCAACCCACAGAUGACUUUACCGUGCUGUCAUUGUUGGAUAGCUCAGUGGCCAAGGCUAAAGCUCCCAGUGUAUACUUUAACAGGUUCACCCAUAAUGGCAGCAGUUAGUGGGACUUUACCUGACCAAAAAAAAAACUACUGCAAGAAAGUCAAUGCAAGGGUGCAGCAACAUUCGUAGUUAGAUGAAAUUGAAUGAACAUUUUAAUGUUGUUUCAUACAGACCUUCUCCACCUUAGAACCAUCAGCAGAAAAGUAAAGUCACCAUCCAGGAUGCAUGACAAUGUUUUGGAAAGGUAGUUGUGAGUCAAUUUUUGUCUUAUACUUUCUGUUCAGCUGUGUUUGACUGUUUGUCAUUUACAACGUUCUUUCCCUAUAUGGCAAUUGUGUUAUCAUCCUUAUGAAUUACAAUGAGUACAAGGGAAGUACACAUAAUUUUAAAUGCUUUGAUUUUCUUCUAAUGAAAUCCAUCAGUGUGUAAUAGAUUUUAUUUUUAGGACGUUUUUAUAUUACAAUUGUAGAAACAGACACUUUCUACAUGUGCUAAAGGGCUGUUGCACAUUAUCUAAUAAACAUGGUCACAUAGAAAAUGCCUAUGUGAUUUGAAAUACAUUAAAUGACAAAGAAGAAGAACUAUAUUUCAAGAAUCUAAGAAGUGGGUUUCGAUAAUUUGAUUAUGUACUUUGAAUAACCCAAAAUUAGAGAACUUAAAAGACAAACAUUUUAAUGAGGACACUGGCUACAUAGGUAAACUAUUAACAUUUUAUCCUAAUGUUUUUAUUUGUAUGAAGGAGCUUUAUGCUUUGGAAACAUGCAAACUUGUUUGUAGAGUAGAUAAAUGCUCUUAACAUUUGAGUGGAAGGGCAAAGCCGAGCUUCAAUUUCAAUACAAGUACCUGAUUGCCCCCGCAGUAUUGUCUUAGGCCAUUUAGGUCUGUUCAUAAUUAUUACUUUGUAUGUUACUCUGCUUGGGAUAUUCUUAAAUUCAACUAAAGAAAACUCUAUCAAAGUAUGACUAACCUUCUUUCAAAUCAAACUAAAACUUACUUUGAUAUGUAGGUUAAUAAAACAGUCACUUGAAACAAACCUUGUCAAAGGUGAUUGUCCACAAGUUAGCUUGUAAGUGGCCUGGUUGCAAGAUUCUACUGCCUGGACAGGGCACGUAAAGCUUAGUGGGGGUAAGGGCACCCAAAAUUAAAAGCAAUAACUUAUAAAUUAGCAUGCUUGGUUUACAGAUUCUCAUAAUCACCUUGUCACCAAAUUAAUCAACUUCUUUAUUUCUACAUAGUAAUAUGUUUUAAAACAAUUUGAUGAUACAUUCUUAAAUUACUCUCUUCUUGCUUAGCCGUUGUAUCUAGGUCAAUUUUUUUUUAUGUAUAUUG